rnacentral:pre_miRNA from 1 species
UAAAUACUCCUUCCGUUUGGAAUUAUCUGUCGCAGAAAUGAAUGUAUCUAGAUGUAUUUUAGUUCUACAUACAUUCAUUUUCGAGACAAGUAAUUCUGAACGGAGGGAGUACAUC